UGGGGGGAUAGGGGUCGAGAUAGACGCGCGCGGCACACACCUUCAUCCCCGCCCCCCCCUCCCCGCGGCGGGGUGGUGUGGCCCGCUCUGAGGAGGGCGGGGAGCGGCGCGCAGCGCCUGCUUGCUCAGUGACACACGCACCCGUUGCGGGGAGGCGGCGGCUGGUUGGGAAGAGAGUGAGCGGGCGGGUGUCGUAGCGGCGGCGACUGGGAGCUGAGCCCGGAGCAUGGCAGAGGCCGAAGCCGCUGCGGAGGCUGCUGCUGGUUUCUCCCCUUCGCCGCCUCCUCCCGCCUGCCGAGAACUUUUUCCAGCGGCCGGCGGCCGUGCUUCCCCCCGGUGGUGGUGGCAGCAGCGGCGGCGGCGGCAGCGGCGGCUCCGCUCGGCGGUGUCUCUCGGGCCAGGGCUGGGGCUGCUGGGGCUGGUUUUCUCUCGUUUCUGCUGCAGUGCCUUAGCUGGACCAGUUGUUGAUCCACAUGUGACAGCAGUUUGGGGGAAGAAGGUUGCUCUGAAAUGCAUAAUUGAUGUAAAUGAAACAAUAACACAAGUUUCUUGGGAGAAGAUACAUGGUAAAAGUUCACAGACUAUUGCUGUUCAUCAUCCUGAAUAUGGAAUAUCUGUUCAAGGAGAAUACCAAGGAAGGGUGUCAUUUAAAAACUAUUCACUUACUGAUGCAACAAUCGUCUUAAGAAAUGUAAGCUUUUCUGAUGCAGGAGAAUAUAUUUGCAAGGCAGUUACAUUCCCGCUUGGAAAUACACAGUCAUCAACAACUGUAACAGUACUGGUUGAACCUAUUGUGAGCUUAACGAAAGGACCAGGCCCUCUAAUAGACGGUGCAAAUAGGACAGUAGCAGCGACUUGUACAGCAGCCACUGGAAAACCUGCUGCAGAGAUUGAAUGGGAAGGAGGUCUUGGUGAAAUGGAAUCCAGCUCUACUUUGUUUCCAAAUGAAACAGUGACAGUUGUCAGUCAGUAUAUGAUUGUCCCUACACGCUUUGCAAGAGGAAGACGUAUAACUUGUAUUGUGAGGCACCCUGCUUUGGAAAAGGAGAUGAGAUACACUCAUGUAUUGGACAUACAGUAUGCCCCAGAAGUUUCCAUAACUGGCUAUGAUGGAAACUGGUUCAUUGGAAGAGAGAACGUUCAGCUCAGAUGUAAUGCUGAUGCAAAUCCAUUACCUAUGGAAUUUAUGUGGACCAGGUUGGAUGGACAGUGGCCUGAAGGAUUGCUAUCUGUCAACAACACCCUACAGUUCAGUAACCCAUUGACUUACAACUACACUGGGACUUACAUCUGUAAGGUGACUAAUGCCCUUGGUCAGAAAAGUGAUCAGAAGACCAUCUACAUAUUGGAUGUGCCAUUUAAGCAGACAUCUUCUGUUGCUGUAGCAGGGGCUGUGAUUGGAGCAGUCCUUGCUCUUUUUAUCAUUACCAUCUUUGUGACAGUGCUGCUGACCCCAAGGAAAAAAAGGCCAUCCUAUCUUGAUAAAGUGAUUGAUCUUCCACCCACUCAGAAACCAUCCUCAUGUGAUGAAAGAGCAUGCUCUGUACCACAGAAAGAAGUUAUGCUUCAGAACUAUUUCUUGCAUGCAAUGUGAAAGAGCAGCGAGCAGCCUGAAGGCCAUGUCCUUGGUGAGAGAGGGAUUUCUACUUGGCAACUGAGUUUUCAGGAGGAUCAAGAGGAAGUGGAACAAUGGAAGAAUUCCAGUGGCUUGAAGAGGAAUUUGUCUGUUGCAUAAUAUUUAUAAAAGCAGUGGGAAAGAAGUGCGCAAGUUCAAGCAAUCCUUUGAAUCAUUACAGUUAAUUUCACUAUGUUUCAAAUAAAAUGUCACUAAGAAGUAGAACUUAUUUACUUGCCUAGAAACACAACUGAAAUGGAGUCUUUGACACUGUGAAAUAACUCAAGUUGUGGGUGGUUGACAGGUGCUUCUGAAGGAAAGAGGAAAAAAUGUUGCUUGGUAUAAUGCAAUGCAUGAAUGUUCAGAGUUCUUAAAACAUUCAGAAAUUAAUAAGGCUUUUUUGUAGCAACAGAAAUAAAAGUAGAGAAGGGAAAUUGCAUCCCUGUAGGUAAUUCUAGCCAUGAGAAGACUGACUUUAGACUUGCAACUUUUAAGAACACCUCACAUAUUUAGCCAAGCAACCCUAUCAAACACUAAAGCUCUUUAAAGGUAAUAUUUGUAUUCAUAUUGAACAUGAGAAAGAAGAUGGUGAAAUUGUAUUAGCACAGUUAAAAUCAUAUAACACCGUUUACUAGAUUAUUAUAAUUCUGGAUCACUGACAGUACUUCUAAACCUAGUGUCAUGUCGACUCAUUUCCAGCCUAAACAAUUCUAUGAUUCUAUAAAAUGUAAAGGUAAGACAAUGCAAACUCUUGUAAGUAUCAAAGCACAACACCCCAGAUAUACUGCAUAGGAACACCGUAACUCAGCACCAGCUUUCUUUGACAGAACCUGACGAUUUGGUUCUAUCACUUGCUUCGUGGCAGGAAAAGGUCCAGCUCCCGUUUCUAGCAAGGCUGUUGUGCUUUCAUGCCAUGCGAGAUUAUUUCCCUUGUCUCUAGUUUUAAUUGAAUAAAUACACCCACUGGAAUUUCCCAUUCUGGUUUCCAGUGUUUAUUUAAAUCCUAUCUGUGUCUGCUGUUGGUAGAAAUGAAUGUGGAAAAGUAAAAUGUGAAGGGGAAGGAAGAAAAAAGAAUGAAACAUUACUUGAGAUUGGUGGUGUUGCUGCCACUGUGGAGCUGUUGGGAAAAGCAGUGAUUAUGAAACAAAUGUGCAAUUGUGCAAAAGCAAUUGCUGUACCCUAUCAUGCCCCUAAACUAGUAGCUAAGUGUGGCAUAGAGGGAAGAACUUAAUUAGGAGUGAUGAUACCAUAGUGUAAGCUGUUACCCUAAGUCAUAAUUCUCAGAUAGCAUUGCUUGUUAUGAUUAGAGUUUGCCAUCCAUUAGCUCAGGUGGUGAUUAACUGCAUGUUUAAUUGUUUCAGUAACAAAGUUAAUCCAUCAUAAUGGUGACAAAAAACUUUGGAAAGGAAGGGAUGGUUUUGAAUCUUUUGUAGAGUAACUGACAUCAUAAUCAAUAUAUUGCUUAGCUCUAAUGUAAAACUUGUGGUGUAAUAUUAAUUUUUAAAAAGAAAGCUAGUGCUCAUGUAGGUGUAUUGUUGAAAGCUAAACUGAUUUUUAGAAACAUAAUUAUUCCCCAAAGAUUUUGCCAAUAUAUUUGAAACAGAACAUGGAUGUAUUUCUGGUAUGGUUCUGAAAGCCAUUUGAGGUGUGAAAGGGAUAAGUGAGCUGACUGGUGGAACUGGGCAAAUGGAUAAGAAUCACCUUAUUAAACUCAAAGCAAACAGAAAUCACAGUGUUAUUUCUGAAAUGUUUGUGAGAAAGAUACUGGUUCUUGAUAAUUUCAUAAAUGUAUCAAUCUACUGCAGUAAUAAUAUAUGCAGACCUCUGUUUAUGUUUCAGAUUUAACCAGUAGGUGUUUUCAGACAUUGCAUUUAAUAUUCAGGAAAACUAUGUUUGUCUUGAAUGAGGUUUUAAACUCCUACUUAUUCAAACUUCUUUGUUACAGAACAGGAGGGAGGGAGAAUUCCUAAUCUGUAAUGUCUCAGUUUUCUGAAUGCCUAGAAUGGGACAAAUAAUUUAUAGUUGUUCUUCUGUUUUCUCCCUAUAGUGCCAUUAGGCACUAGUGUAACUGUAAAAAUAUUGAGUUUACGUGCCUUUUAGUGAAGUGUUACUUGCCACAAAGGCGGGAAGUGGUUCAGAUCAAAACUGACCCCUCUGAGAGCGAGCUGACUUAAUUGUAGAAAGGUUUUCUGCUCAUGAGGAAGUGUUUUUAGUUGUGCUAAAUCUUCCCUGGAAAAAAUACCUUCAUCUGGAGAGAUGCAUAGUUACAGUACAGUGUUUCUUUUGUAGAACUAAGGUUGAAAAGAAGAAAGUGCAACUUCUGAUAGAGUUUAAAACUGUAAAUGCCUAACAAAGAACUGAGUUCCUUGGGCUUUGAAAGUAGGCGUUCAAGUGUGCUGUCUGUAGCAUGUGCAGUGUAUUCAUUAGAUGGAGCCCAGAAAAAGGACAAGGAAGCAUUUCUUCCUGAAAUGGGUAGAAAUUUGUCUCCCAGAUAUAAUCACAUUAGAGGUAAGUAUAUAAACCUAUACAAAAUGACAAGUUGCAUUUUAAUUAAUGGUUUUGUAAAUAAGUUAGUUUUUUUGUUAGCCUAUGAAUGAAACUCUUACCACUUGCAAGGGCGGGGCAUAGAGUUUCAAAUGAUUACCACUUGAUAACCCAUUAAACUGUAAAUUUUUAUGUAAUUGUGACACGUUGCCAUUGUGAAAUGUAGUGCUUUGAAAUUGUUUCCAUCUUUUUGAAACACACUGUACAUUGAUUUUGGUGGUGAGACUGUUCUUUAGGAACCACAGAAGGACAAAUAACUGCAGAACAAAGCUACUCCAGGGCUACUUGUGUAAGUAGGAGGGGGAGUCGGGGAGCAGGACCCAUCCAAUUGUCUUUUUUUUCUCCCUGUUUUAGCACAGCCAAGGUUUCAAACAGCUCACGGGAUUAAUGAAUUGAGCAAUGGACUCUUAUCUGAAUUGCAGAAGAAUUUACUGCUGUACAUGGCUAUGUUUUUAUUAGCAAGCUGUGCUGAACAGUAGGAGCAGACCUACAGUUGCCGUUCAGAUAUAGGGUGUUCAUGAGAUGCACAUUUGGGGGGAUGUUACUUGCUAUCAGCUAUUGUCUUGACCUAUGAAUAGAAUGAUAAUUAGUUUCUGAUGUACAACUAGCUAUUAGGCCUUGCUAGACCUCUGAAGUAAUAUUUUGGAGAGAUAUGCUUUCAGAAACAAGUUUUUAGGCUUCACAGAAAAAGGUGGUAGUAAAAUGUCUAGGCAGUGUGGACUCUUAGUUGGAAAAUUAGUUAGCAAAACGAACUUUGAGACAAGUUGUAAAUGAGUUUAAUUUUGCUGAAAAGUGUUGCCUUUGUUUUGUGUAGUCUCAUUAGAAGUUUUUGAUUUUUCACUAGGAAGUACUUUUCUUAGUUUGAUAGAAUUAAACAACAGAAAUGUACUCCCUUUUACUCUCAGUAGUCUACAAUUAAAUUCCUUUUUGGUUACAUACUUUUGCGCAGUAUCAGACUCAGCAUUUAUCCAUAUGAUAGUCGUGAAAACUUUUGAACUGAUUUUGGAUUUUGCGUUUGUUUUAACCCGUGGCUUAUCUAAAAAUCAAUGUUAUCUUAAAAUUAAAAAAAAGCUUUUUAGUUGUUCUCAAACAUGCCUGUGCUUAAAUAAAGUACAAAUUAAAUAUAUGUAAACAACACUUACUAAAUUGACAACAGCAUAUUCUUUCUGCCAGAGACUAGCUUGUGAGAAGUGUUCUAAAUGGUAGUCACUUAAGACACUUCACAAGGUAGAGUGUAUUUUGUGGUGACUGGCAUUUUUGUAUAAACCAAACAUGUUCUGCAGUGUUGAAUUUUGACUUGUGUCCACUGUAACUUUUAUUCUUUCAGAAAGAACAUUUUGCUUUGCAAAACCAGUACAGAGAGAAAGAUGCUGGAAACUUGCAGCACAUGAAAGCUAUGAAUGGAAGACAACUUAUUUGUGAUGUUGAAGAGCCACAGGAACAAGAGGGUCUUCAGCAUAUGUAUCCUGCUUAUCAGCAAACAUACUACAAAAACUGGAGCAGCAGAUACCCACAAAACUCAGGACCUGGAAGAGUCUACAUCAAUCCAAGGGAGCAUUAUGUAUG